rnacentral:rRNA from 1 species
UACGUAGGGGGCAAGCGUUGUCCGGAAUCAUUGGGCGUAAAGCGCGCGUAGGCGGCUCGAUCAGUCUGCUGUAAAAGUCAAAGGCUCAACCUUUGAAUGCCGGUGGAUACUGUCGAGCUAGAGUCCGGAAGAGGCGAGUGGAAUUCCUGGUGUAGCGGUGGAAUGCGCAGAUAUCAGGAGGAACACCGAUGGCGAAGGCAGGUCUCUGGGCCAUAACUGACGCUGAGAAGCGAAAGCAUGGGGAGCGAACAGG